CACGGAGUUAGCCGGUGCUGAUUCCUCAACUACCGUCACUACAGGGCGCACCCUGUACGUUCUUGGUUGAUAAAAGAAGUUUACAACGCAGAGCGCCUUCGUCCUUCACGCGGCAUGGCUGGGUCAGAGUUGCCUCCAUUGCCCAAUAUUCCCUACUGCUGCCUCCCGUAGGAGUCGGGUCCGUCUCUCAGUACCCGUGUGGGGGCCAAUCCUCUCAGAACCCCUACUGAUCAUCGGCUUGGUAGUCCCUUACACCCCCAACUACCUAAUCAGACGCAAGCCCCUCCACUACCCAUAAAUGUUUACCUUAACCAUCAGGUGAUGCCAAAGGACCAUGCGGGUUUACCCAGCUUUCGCCGGGCUACUCCCCCAGUAGUGGCAGGUUGCUUACGGCGUUACGCACCGUUUGCCACUCUGCAGGGUUGCCCCUGCCACCGUUCGACUUGCAUGUAUUAGCCUGCCGCUAGCGUUCAUCCUGAGCCAGGAUCAAACUCU
rnacentral:rRNA from 1 species